rnacentral:rRNA from 1 species
CAACUUUUAUCAAUGGAUCUCUUGGUUCUCGCAUCGAUGAAGAAAGUAGCAAACUGCGAUAAGUAGUGUGAAUUGCAUUUAGUGAAUCAUCGAAUCUUUGAACGCACCUUGCACUCACUGGUAUUCCGGUGAGUACGCCUGUUUCUGUAUCAUUGAA